ACGUCUACGAGUUUGAUCCUGGCUCAGAUUGAACGCUGGCGGAAUGCUUUACACAUGCAAGUCGAGCGGCAGCGCGGGGGCAACCCUGGCGGCGAGCGGCGAACGGGUGAGUAACAUAUCGGAACGUACCCAGUCGUGGGGGAUAACUAUCCGAAAGGAUAGCUAAUACCGCAUACGUCCUGAGGGAGAAAGCGGGGGAUCGCAAGACCUCGCGCGAUUGGAGCGGCCGAUAUCGGAUUAGCUAGUUGGUGGGGUAAAGGCUCACCAAGGCGACGAUCCGUAGCGGGUCUGAGAGGACGACCCGCCACACUGGAACUGAGACACGGUCCAGACUCCUACGGGAGGCAGCAGUGGGGAAUUUUGGACAAUGGGGGCAACCCUGAUCCAGCCAUUCCGCGUGAGUGAAGAAGGCCUUCGGGUUGUAAAGCUCUUUCAGCAGGAACGAAACGGUGGUCCCUAAUACGGACUACUAAUGACGGUACCUGAAGAAGAAGCACCGGCUAACUACGUG
rnacentral:rRNA from 1 species